CCUACGGGAGGCAGCAGUGGGGAAUUUUGGACAAUGGGCGCAAGCCUGAUCCAGCAAUGCCGCGUGAGUGAAGAAGGCCUUCGGGUUGUAAAGCUCUUUUGUCAGGGAAGAAACGGUGGGGGCUAAUAUCUCCUACUAAUGACGGUACCUGAAGAAUAAGCACCGGCUAACUACGUGCCAGCAGCCGCGGUAAUACGUAGGGUGCAAGCGUUAAUCGGAAUUACUGGGCGUAAAGCGUGCGCAGGCGGUUUUGUAAGUCUGUCGUGAAAGCCCCGGGCUCAACCUGGGAAUUGCGAUGGAGACUGCAAGGCUUGAAUCUGGCAGAGGGGGGUUAGAAUUCCACGUGUAGCAGUGAAAUGCGUAGAGAUGUGGAGGAACACCGAUGGCGAAGGCAGCCCCCUGGGUCAAGAUUGACGCUCAUGCACGAAAGCGUGGGGAGCAAACAGGAUUAGAUACCCUGGUAGUCCACGCCCUAAACGAUGUCUACUAGUUGUCGGGUUUUAAUUACUUGGUAACGCAGCUAACGCGUGAAGUAGACCGCCGUGGGGGAGUACGGGUCGCAAAGUAUUAAAAACCGUCGAAAAGGGUAAUUGGUACGGCGUGAGACGUGCCGACGGACGACGACGACGGGAGGUUAGG
rnacentral:rRNA from 1 species